GCGUAAUUGGUUUAGUGGUAAAAUUCUCCGUUGCCAAGCAAGUAUCGGGGAGCCCUGGGUUCGAUUCCCAGAUUACGCA
rnacentral:tRNA from 12 species